rnacentral:rRNA from 1 species
CGGCGUGCCUAAUACAUGCAAGUCAGCGAACUUAACUAACUGAUCAAGUGCUUGCACGGAGUGACGUUAGAGCGGUGAGCGGCGGAUGGGUGAGUAACACGUGGGUAACCUGCCUUAAUGGGGGAUAACAUUUGGAAACAGAUGCUAAUACCGCAUAAAUCCUCAAACCACAUGGUUUGAGGCUGAAAGAAGGCUUCGGCUUUCACUUAAGGAUGGACCCGCGGCGCAUUAGUUAGUUGGUGAGGUAAUGGCUCACCAAGACAGUGAUGCGUAGCCGACCUGAGAGGGUGAUCGGCCACAUUGGGACUGAGACACGGCCCAAACUCCUACGGGAGGCAGCAGUAGGGAAUCUUCCACAAUGGACGCAAGUCUGAUGGAGCAACGCCGCGUGAGUGAAGAAGGUUUUCGGAUCGUAAAACUCUGUUGUUGGAGAAGAACACUAGUGAGAGUAACUGUUCAUUAGUUGACGGUAUCCAACCAGAAAGCCACGGCUAACUACGUG